UGGGGAAUAUUGCACAAUGGGCGCAAGCCUGAUGCAGCCAUGCCGCGUGUAUGAAGAAGGCCUUCGGGUUGUAAAGUACUUUCAGUCGGGAGGAAGGUGGUAAGGUUAAUAACCUUGGCAAUUGACGUUACCGACAGAAGAAGCACCGGCUAACUCCGUGCCAGCAGCCGCGGUAAUACGGAGGGUGCAAGCGUUAAUCGGAAUUACUGGGCGUAAAGCGCACGCAGGCGGUUGAUUGAGUCAGAUGUGAAAUCCCCGGGCUUAACUCGGGAAUUGCAUCUGCUACUUGUCAGCUAGAGUCUUGUAGAGGGGGGUAGAAUUCCAUGUGUAGCGGUGAAAUGCGUAGAGAUGUGGAGGAAUACCGGUGGCGAAGGCGGCCCCCUGGACAAAGACUGACGCUCAGGUGCGAAAGCGUGGGGAGCAAACAGG
rnacentral:rRNA from 1 species